rnacentral:rRNA from 1 species
GACGAACGCUGGCGGCGUGCCUAAUACAUGCAAGUAGAACGCACAGUUUAUACCGUAGCUUGCUACACCGUAGACUGUGAGUUGCGAACGGGUGAGUAACGCGUAGGUAACCUGCCUGGUAGCGGGGGAUAACUAUUGGAAACGAUAGCUAAUACCGCAUAAUAUUAAUUAUUGCAUGAUAAUUAAUUGAAAGGUGCAAUUGCACCACUACCAGAUGGACCUGCGUUGUAUUAGCUAGUAGGUGAGGUAACGGCUCACCUAGGCGACGAUACAUAGCCGACCUGAGAGGGUGGUCGGCCACACUGGGACUGCGACCCGGCCCAGACUCCUACGGGAGGCAGCAGUAGGGAAUCUUCGGCAAUGGACGAAAGUCUGACCGAGCAACGCCGCGUGAGUGAAGAAGGUUUUCGGAUCGUAAAGCUCUGUUGUAAGAGAAGAACGGGUGUGAGAGUGGAAAGUUCACACUGUGACGGUAUCUUACCAGAAAGGGACGGCUAACUACGUG